rnacentral:tRNA from 1 species
UUUGGGUUAGGAUAGACUUAAUCUAUUAGCUUUAGGAGCUGGGGAUGCGCGGUAUGAGCGCGCUCAGUG